rnacentral:rRNA from 1 species
UACGUAGGGUGCGAGCGUUAAUCGGAAUUACUGGGCGUAAAGCGUGCGCAGGCGGUUGGAUAAGACAGGUGUGAAAUUCCCGGGCUCAACCUGGGAACUGCAUUUGUGACUGUUCGACUAGAGUGCGGCAGAGGGGAGUGGAAUUCCGCGUGUAGCAGUGAAAUGCGUAGAUAUGCGGAGGAACACCGAUGGCGAAGGCAACUCCCGGGGCCUGCACUGACGCUCAUGCACGAAAGCGUGGGGAGCAAACAGG